AGAGAUCUGGAGGAAUACCGAUGGCGAAGGCAGCCUUCUGGCAUCAUACUGACACUGAGGCUCGAAAGCGUGGGUAGCAAACAGGAUUAGAUACCCUGGUAGUCCACGCCGUAAACGAUGUCUACUAGUCGUUGGGUCCCUUGAGGACUUAGUGACGCAGCUAACGCAAUAAGUAGACCGCCUGGGGAGUACGGCCGCAAGGUUAAAACUCAAAUGAAUUGACGGGGGCCCGCACAAGCGGUGGAGCAUGUGGUUUAAUUCGAUGCAACGCGAAGAACCUUACCUGGUCUUGACAUAUCUAGAAUCCUGCAGAGAUGCGGGAGUGCCUUCGGGAAUUAGAAUACAGGUGCUGCAUGGCUGUCGUCAGCUCGUGUCGUGAGAUGUUGGGUUAAGUCCCGCAACGAGCGCAACCCUUGUCCUUAGUUACCAGCGGGUUAAGCCGGGAACUCUAAGGAUACUGCCAGUGACAAACUGGAGGAAGGCGGGGACGACGUCAAGUCAUCAUGGCCCUUACGACCAGGGCUACACACGUGCUACAAUGGUAGGUACAGAGGGCAGCUACACAGCGAUGUGAUGCGAAUCUCAAAAAGCCUAUCGUAGUCCAGAUUGGAGUCUGCAACUCGACUCCAUGAAGUAGGAAUCGCUAGUAAUCGCGGAUCAGAAUGCCGCGGUGAAUACGUUCCCGGGCCUUGUACACACCGCCCGUCACACCAUGGGAGUUGAUUGCACCAGAAGUGGUUAGCCUAACCGUAAGGAAGGCGAUCACCACGGUGUGGUUGAUGACUGGGGUGAAGUCGUAACAAGGUAGCCGUAGGGGAACCUGCGGCUGGAUCACCU
rnacentral:rRNA from 1 species